rnacentral:misc_RNA from 1 species
GAUGAAGAACGUAGCGAAAUGCGAUACGUAAUGUGAAUUGCAAAUUCAGUGAAUCAUCGAGUCUUUGAACGCACAUUGCGCCCCCUGGUAUUCCGGGGGGCAUGCCUGUCCGAGCGUCAUUGCUGCCCUCAAGCCCGGCUUGUGUGUUGGGCCCCGUCCCCCGACCUCCGGGGGACGGGCCCGAAAGGCAGCGGCGGCACCGCGUCCGGUCCUCGAGCGUAUGGGGCUUUGUCACCCGCUCUGUAGGCCCGGCCGGCGCUUGCCGAUCAACCCAAAUUUUUAUCCAGGUUGACCUCGGAUCAGGUAGGGAUACCCGCUGAACUUAAGCAUAUCAAUAAGCGGAGGA